UACGAAGGGGACUAGCGUUGUUCGGAUUUACUGGGCGUAAAGCGCGUGUAGGCGGAUCGCUAAGUCAGGGGUGAAAUCCCAGGGCUCAACCCUGGAACUGCCUUUGAUACUGACGAUCUGGAGAUCGGGAGAGGUUGGUGGAAUUCCGAGUGUAGAGGGUAGAAAUUCGUAGAUAUUCGCAAGAACACCAGUGGCGAAGGCGGCUCACUGGCCCGGUACUGACGCUGAGGAGCGAAAGCGUGGGGAGCGAACAGG
rnacentral:rRNA from 1 species